rnacentral:rRNA from 2 species
AGGGGAGCUAUUCGGAGGAGUAUAUGUUUGGUUGUAGCUGGCUCCUAAUUAAACUUGGGGGCAUGUGCACACCUUUCUCUUUCAUCCCAUACACACCUGUGCACCUGUGAGACAGAUGUUUUGUGGGGGGGAAGGAACUUUAUUGGACCUUCUACUCCCCCUUGACUUCUGUCUACUUAAUUCAUAUAAACUCAAUUUAUUUUAAAACGGAUGUAAUGGAUGUAACACAUCUAAUACUAAGUUUCAACAACGGAUCUCUUGGCUCUCGCAUCGAUGAAGAACGCAGCGAAAUGCGAUAAGUAAUGUGAAUUGCAGAAUUCAGUGAAUCAUCGAAUCUUUGAACGCACCUUGCGCUCCUUGGUAUUCCUUGGAGCAUGCCUGUUUGAGUAUCAUGAAAUCUUCAAAGUCAAACCUUUUGUUAAUUCAAUUGGUUCUGCUUUGGUAUUGGAGGAUUAUUGCAGCUUCACACCUGCUCCUCUUUGUGCAUUAGCUGGAUCUCAGUGUUAUGCUUGGUUCCACUCAGCGUGAUAAGUUAUCUAUCGCUGAGGACACCCUGUUAAAAAGGGGUGGCCAAGGUAAAUGCAGAUGAACCGCUUCUAAUAGUCCAUUGACUUGGACAAUAUCUAAUUUAUGAUCUGAUCUCAAAUCAGGUAGGACUACCCGCUGAACUUAAGCAUAUCAAUAAGCGGAGGAA